rnacentral:rRNA from 1 species
AUGCGUUGUUGGGUAGGGGAGCGUUCUGUAAGCCUGUGAAGGUGUACUGUGAGGUAUGCUGGAGGUAUCAGAAGUGCGAAUGCUGACAUAAGUAACGAUAAAGCGGGUGAAAAGCCCGCUCGCCGGAAGACCAAGGGUUCCUGUCCAACGUUAAUCGGGGCAGGGUGAGUCGACCCCUAAGGCGAGGCCGAAAGGCGUAGUCGAUGGGAAACAGGUUAAUAUUCCUGUACUUGGUGUUACUGCGAAGGGGGGACGGAGAAGGCUAUGUUGGCCGGGCGACGGUUGUCCCGGUUUAAGCGUGUAGGCUGGUUUUCCAGGCAAAUCCGGAAAAUCAAGGCUGAGGCGUGAUGACGAGGCACUACGGUGCUGAAGCAACAAAUGCCCUGCUUCCAGGAAAAGCCUCUAAGCAUCAGGUAACAUCAAAUCGUACCCCAAACCGACACAGGUGGUCAGGUAGAGAAUACCAAGGCGCUUGAGAGAACUCGGGUGAAGGAACUAGGCAAAAUGGUGCCGUAACUUCGGGAGAAGGCACGCUGAUAUGUAGGUGAAGUCCCUCGCGGAUGGAGCUGAAAUCAGUCGAAGAUACCAGCUGGCUGCAACUGUUUAUUAAAAACACAGCACUGUGCAAACACGAAAGUGGACGUAUACGGUGUGACGCCUGCCCGGUGCCGGAAGGUUAAUUGAUGGGGUCAGCGCAAGCGAAGCUCUUGAUCGAAGCCCCGGUAAACGGCGGCCGUAACUAUAACGGUCCUAAGGUAGCGAAAUUCCUUGUCGGGUAAGUUCCGACCUGCACGAAUGGCGUAAUGAUGGCCAGGCUGUCUCCACCCGAGACUCAGUGAAAUUGAACUCGCUGUGAAGAUGCAGUGUACCCGCGGCAAGACGGAAAGACCCCGUGAACCUUUACUAUAGCUUGACACUGAACAUUGAGCCUUGAUGUGUAGGAUAGGUGGGAGGCUUUGAAGUGUGGACGCCAGUCUGCAUGGAGCCGACCUUGAAAUACCACCCUUUAAUGUUUGAUGUUCUAACGUGGACCCGUGAUCCGGGUUGCGGACAGUGUCUGGUGGGUAGUUUGACUGGGGCGGUCUCCUCCUAAAGAGUAACGGAGGAGCACGAAGGUUGGCUAAUCCUGGUCGGACAUCAGGAGGUUAGUGCAAUGGCAUAAGCCAGCUUGACUGCGAGCGUGACGGCGCGAGCAGGUGCGAAAGCAGGUCAUAGUGAUCCGGUGGUUCUGAAUGGAAGGGCCAUCGCUCAACGGAUAAAAGGUACUCCGGGGAUAACAGGCUGAUACCGCCCAAGAGUUCAUAUCGACGGCGGUGUUUGGCACCUCGAUGUCGGCUCAUCACAUCCUGGGGCUGAAGUAGGUCCCAAGGGUAUGGCUGUUCGCCAUUUAAAGUGGUACGCGAGCUGGGUUUAGAACGUCGUGAGACAGUUCGGUCCCUA